UCACCACAUAGGUUAUGAGCACAGGGAUUACAGGGCUCUGAGGACUCUGCAGAGCAGCAUUCAGUGUCCCUGUUCUCCUUGCAGAGUGGCGGCAGGCAAGUGGGGCAAGG
rnacentral:pre_miRNA from 1 species